rnacentral:rRNA from 1 species
UCGGGAAUUUUGGGCAAUGGGCGAAAGCCUGACCCAGCAACGCCGCGUGAAGGAUGAAGUAUUUCGGUAUGUAAACUUCGAAAGAAUAGGAAGAAUAAAUGACGGUACUAUUUAUAAGGUCCGGCUAACUACGUGCCAGCAGCCGCGGUAAUACGUAGGGACCAAGCGUUAUCCGGAAUCACUGGGCGUAAAGGGUGUCGAGGCGGUUGUAUUAGUCGUUCGUAAAAUCUACGAGCUUAACUUGUAGGCGGCGAACGAAACGGUACGACUUGAGGUUUGGAGAGGUGCGUGGAACUCACGGUGUAGGGGUGAAAUCCGUUGAUAUCGUGGGGAACACCAAAGGCGAAGGCAGCGCACUGGCCAAAAUCUGACGCUCACACACGAAAGCUAGGGUAGCGAAGAGGAUUAGAUACCCCAGUAGUCCCUGAGCGGGCUGGCAAGGCGCAU